CUACGGGAGGCAGCAGUGAGGAAUAUUGGGCAAUGGGGGAAACCCUGACCCAGCAAUGCCGCGUGGGUGAAGACGGCCUGCGGGUUGUAAAGCCCUUUAGGCGGGGAAGAACGGCCGGGCGCAAACAGCGCGCGGCUCUGACGUUACCCGCAGAAUAAGCACCGGCUAACUCCGUGCCAGCAGCCGCGGUAAUACGGAGGGUGCGAGCGUUAAUCGGAAUUACUGGGCGUAAAGCGUGCGUAGGCGGUUCGGUCAGUCAGCCGUGAAAGCCCCGGGCUCAACCUGGGAACGGCGGUUGAGACGGCCGGACUAGAGGGGGCUAGGGGAUCGUGGAAUUCCCGGUGUAGCGGUGAAAUGCGUAGGGAUCGGGAGGAACACCGAUGGCGAAGGCAGCGGUCUGGGGCCAAACUGACGCUGAGGCACGAAAGCGUGGGGAGCAAACAGGAUAGAAACCCUGGUAGUCC
rnacentral:rRNA from 1 species